GCUGGUGGUAGCACCUUGAUGGUUUUGUUUGAUCUUGAAAAAGCUAAGUAGGGUUGGACCUGGUUAGUAUCUGAAUGGAAGCCCAGGAGGAAAUUCGAGGGCUGUCAUCU
rnacentral:rRNA from 1 species